GUUUUUUGUAUUUUUU
rnacentral:sRNA from 1 species